AUACGUAGGGGGCAAGCGUUGUCCGGAUUUACUGGGUAUAAAGGGAGCGCAGGCGGAUUCGUAAGUCAGGGGUGAAAUCCUACAGCUUAACUGUAGAACUGCCUUUGAUACUGCGAGUCUUGAGAUCGGAAGAGAGAGAUGGAAUUCCAGGUGUAGUGGUGAAAUACGUAGAUAUCUGGAAGAACACCAAUGGCGAAGGCAGUCUCUUGGUCCGUAUCUGACGCUGAGGCUCGAAAGCGUGGGGAGCAAACAGGAUUAGAAACCCCAGUAGUCC
rnacentral:rRNA from 1 species